CAGAGGCCUAAUGAAAGCAGGAGGAUUCAGACUGAUGAGGCUGUCCAAGAUCGUUGUGAACAAGGUGAAAUUGGUGAAGCACGAGCCCUUGUCGACGGCUUCAGUUACUACACUGUGCUUAAGCUGUACAGAAAUGAAGUGUUCGACUCGAGCAUCAACACAUACGCCUUCUGCUUCAUCCUUUAUGGGAACGUGAAGAAAUAUUAGAAGAGGUCCGAGCUGUGAGAAUGAUCAUGACAUUGAUGAUGAUGAGGAUGACAUCUAUGGCAACAAGGGAGAUGAUAGCUUUGGCGAUAAGCAUUGUGAUAAAGUAGAGCUCUGAA